ensembl:lincRNA
GAAGCAAGUACUAAGUAUGGUUGGAGAUGAAGGUUUGGGGGAUAUCCAGGGAAUUGAUACACACAUGGAUAAUGAGAAGAGGAGCAUACUUCUUGAGAAGUACAGGUAAAGAGAGGAAACCACUAUCAAGAAAAUAGAAGGAGUUAUUUGAAUAAUGGGGUGGACCAGAAGAAAAACCUCAGUUGAAAAAAUGUUGCAUCACUUUUCUAAAUUUCAGUUCUUCAGGAAAUAGUGCCAUGCGGACCGGAGUGGAACAAGAUUCUCACAGAACAGAAAUUUUAAAUGAAUCACAACCUCUGACUAAAAGAGUGGAAUAAAUAAAAAGAUGGAAUCCAGUAGAACCCUCAAGUUUCAGGACUUGACAGGGAAAGGAGUUAACAUUUGGAAAGUAACUGCUAUGUGGGAGAAAUACAGAGGAGUCUUGCAUGAUUCACUAAGCUUCAUUAACUCAGUUAGCCGAAAUUAUCACGGAAAAGCAAAUAUAAACAACAGACAAGC